CUGAAGGAGCUGGGAUUGUUUAGUCUGGAGAAGAGGAGGCUCAGGGGAGACCUUAUUGCUCUCUAUAACUACCUGAAGGGAGGUUGUAGUGAGCUGGGGGUCAACCUCUUCUCUCAUGUGACUAGUGAUAGGACUAGAGGGAAUGGCUUCAAGCUGCGCCAGGGAAGGUUCAGGCUGGACGUUAGGAAAUACUACUUCUCUGAAAGGGUGGUCAGGCACUGGAAUGGGCUGCCCAGAGAGGUGGUGGAGUCACUGACCCUGGAGGUGUUCAAGGAACAUUUUGAUGUUGUGCUGAGGGACAUGGUGUAGUGAGAACUACUGGUGAUAGGUGAAUGUUUGGACUGGAUGAUCUUGUAGGUCUUUUCCAACUGUGGUGAUUCUAUGAUUCUAUGAAAGUGUUGUGGUUUAACAUAGCAGCCAGCUCAGCACCAUACAGCCACAUUCCCUCUCAGUGGUAUACAAGAGAGAAUUAAAAAAAAUAAAAAGGUAAAAUGCAAGAACUUUUGGGUUGAUAAGAUCAGUUUAAUAAGAAAAAGAAGAAACAUAAUAAAAUAACAGAAAAUAAACCAUAAAGAAAUAUAUCAAGAAAUUUUAAAAAAACCAAGUGAGGCUCAACAGUAUUGCUCAACACUAGCUAACAGAUGACCAGACAGUCCCUGAGCAAUGGCAGUCCCUCCACUCAACUUCUCUCACUUUUUGUUAUCAGUAAUGCUGUGGAAUAUUCUUUGGCCAUUUUCAGGCAUCUGGCUGUGUUCCCUCAC
ensembl:lncRNA